UUUCUUCCUGUUUUUACUAAUUUUGACACACCAAGAUGGAAAGGGGGAAUAGUAUGUGAAACGAAUUUAAUUUCCGAAGAUCGUAGUUCCAGAAAAAAUACAACAAAUGGAAAGUGUUCAAGGAUACUUAACUUACUUAACUACCAGUAACUAUCACCUUCCCGUAUGCCAUCGUGGUGUAAUUGGAAAGUAUGCUCGACUGAUAAUCGGAAUGUCAGGAGUACAAAUUCCGGCGACGGCACUGCACAUUUUCCACGGCUUCUGCUUCGAAAUGCCUAACGACUCUACAAAUUGUGCUAAAAUGCUAAGGGGGAAAUAUGCGAAGUUUUUUCCUCCAGCUUCUUUGCGCUUUUAAAGAAUGAAAAAUGCUUUCGUCCCUGUGAUGCUGUAAGAAUACAAGAUCUUCGUCUGCUGACUAACUUAAAAGUUGCGGAGAGGAGAUUAUUUUGAAGCAAGAUUCUGAGAUUCUGAAUCAGGAGUCUCGAAAGUAGCGUAUAUCGACCCUACGACAUGAUAAAACGUGGCGAGGGGUCAAUGAAAUCCCAGACAGUGAUUUUCAAACAGUGUAUGGAAGCAUUUCGUCGAGAGUUGAAAGCGGGCAAGAAAUGUUAGAAAAGUGAACCUAGUUGUAAAUAUUCGACAAAAUAAAUGAAACUCGAGGCUUAGAUUGUUUGCAAAAUUCGAUGUAAUGAAUUUAGUUAGAAAUAAAUGAAUCAGUUUAUUACAGA